rnacentral:rRNA from 1 species
AUUGAACGCUGGCGGCAGGCCUAACACAUGCAAGUCGAGCGAGCGGCGGACGGGUGAGUAAUGUCUGGGGAACUGCCCGAUAGAGGGGGAUAACUACUGGAAACGGUGGCUAAUACCGCAUACUAUCGGAUGUGCCCAGAGGGGAUUAGCUAGUAGGUGGGGUAAUGGCUCACCUAGGCGACGAUCCCUAGCUGGUCUGAGAGGAUGAUCAGCCACACUGGAACUGAGACACGGUCCAGACUCCUACGGGAGGCAGCAGUGGGGAAUAUUGCACAAUGGGCGCAAGCCUGAUGCAGCCAUGCCGCGUGUAUGAAGAAGGCCUUCGGGUUGUAAAGUACUUUCAGCGGGGAGGCGUUACUCGCAGAAGAAGCACCGGCUAACUCCGUGCCAGCAGCCGCGGUAAUAC